rnacentral:lncRNA from 1 species
CAAAUUUCAAAAGUUUUUAUCAAAUAGUUCAUAUUAAUAUCGCCUUUGGUUAUGACACUUCCCAGUUAUGUUUUUGAUUUCAGAAGGAAUGGCAUUUAGGAAUAUCCCUUCAUGCCUGAAGCAGCCUUCAUGCAACUGCUGUGACACCAACAUCAUUUUGGACAAAUGGGUGCUUUCUUUCUCUUUGCUUUGCUAGAUUCUCUUCUCUUUUUUAAGUGAUGGUCACAUGCGGUUGGGUGUUUGCACUUUGCAAAUCACUGACAUCAAAUGAGCUAGAUUUGGCAUGAGUUAAAUUAGAAAUUUAAAAAGCAAGGUUACCUAAGCAUUUCUUCAGAACACUGCAUAAUCUCUGGAAGCAGUGGGUUCAGUGUUCUCUAACUCCCUGCCUCUGGGUGCUGGAUACAGCACACCUACAGCAAUCAUGAGGGUUGAGGAGUUUUACGUAGCAGCAGCCGAGGAACGCUUGAAGUCCAUGAGACAGAUCAAUAAAGGUUGAAGUAACAUCCAACUAGGUCUAGAACACUUUUAAAAAGUAAUCUCAAUUACUGUGGUCCCUGAAAUUUUGCCUACAUCGGUAAAGUCAUUCAUUUUCUUAUUUUUACUUUUUGAACCCUGAAAUGAUAUUGUUUUAUGUAGUAUUUCCUGAGUUUAUUUUCCUCAUACCACAGUAACUGUUCCAACUCCUUCUUGCCUUUUUAAUGGACAUAGUUGUUAAUUUAGCAAACUGCAAUGCGUUUUUCGAUUUUGGGAGAAGGACUUUAUAUACUAAAGGAAAGUCACAUAUAACGUAUUUCUCAAUUUUGGAAUUUUAUGUGAAUGACAUGAGAAGCUAUAGUCCUACGAGACACCUAAGAGACUUUUUCACAAAGCAAUAAUAUGACCAUUAAAAGCUUACCAUCCUUCUUUUCCUAAUAAGAAUUCAGCUAUAUUUUUCUUUGCAGUUCUAAGGAAUUUAGGAAUAUAUAUAUUCUGUAGACAGAGCAGUCCUCGUACGACUAGAGGUCCAGAUACUGUAUUAGACAGAUGGGUCCUUCUACUGUAGGCUUCUUCAUGACUAGUUAGUACACAUCUCAAAUGUGUCUGCAAGUCUGGAUUGUAUUCUCAAAAAAGAAGAGGUUCCACUGAAAAGCAAAUGAUCGAUACUGUUUAUCCUUGGAGUCCUGUUCUGCUUCCUCUCAUUGAGUCAUUGGCUCUCUUUGCUCCUUUACUUCGAGGAGUUGCGGGGAGAGGGCCAUGUAAUACAACUACCUGCCUCUGACUGCAAGACCUCUUGUGGAAUAUUACGUUUCUAGAUCCUAAAGCACUCGUCAGUUGGAACUAAGAAGCAGACUAUGAAAGGGUUUCAAAUGUGUGUCCUCUUUUUAAGCGUUGCACUCUCAUUUUCAGUGAAUUGGUGUGUUCUUCUCCUUUUUCUGCACAUGCGAUUGAACCAAAAAAGGGCAGGUCAAUAAUAGGCUUUCAACUUUUCCUGCUUGUGGUUUCAUUUGUUUCUGGCUUCUUUGGGUAGCUUAUCAAUCAAAAAUGCCAUGUGUUUCUAUCUAUACCUGGACACUGUUUAAUCUGCUUCCUGCAGCUCCUUACCUCCCGGUAACCAUCUUCCUCAGCUCUAAAACGCACAUACUAUGACCUGAUUUUCUCUUAUUCUCUUCGUUCACCAGACAGUGUUUGCCGUCAUCACGUGUUGUUCAGUUUCCCCCUUUAUGACCUCUUUCAUCUGUCUUGUCCUCAUAAUCAACUUGGUCAAAUAGAUUAUUACCAAUACAAUUGAUGGGCUGGGUAUUUUUGAAGGUUGUGAUGUAUGCAUUUUCUUCCAAGACAAAGGCAGGCCAUUUGCUUUACAACCUUCCCUUCUGCCAUUUGAUAUCACAAUUCUCUUCCUUUCCACUCAAGUUAGCCAAAUAUCUUAUUAAAGCUGGCCAGUCAAAGCGUGAAAGUCUAAAUCACAUAAAAAGGGAUCAAUCAGUCUUUUAGAAGCCCGUCAUCAUCAUGUCUACUGUUUCUGAUUUUUACUCAUUCACUAAAUCAUCUCCCUUUCUGCCUCUCUUCACUGUUGUGGACUAUUCCCCAAAUAAACAUGAGUUCUCAGCCAGUGUUGGUGUGUUGGUGUAUUGGUGUGUUGGUGUGUGUGUUUGCAAGCAGUCUGUGUGUGUGUGUGUGUGUGUGUGUGUGUGUGUGUGUGUGUGUGUGUGUUUAUCAGCAUCCUGAUAUGUUUAAAGGCACUUGAGUUUUCUGCAUGAUAUUUCCCAACAUAUUUACGCUGACUUUUCCAUUUUGUCUUUCAGAAGGACCACAGAACUUAGAUCAAGUCCAGAAAGAAAUGGGUAAAUCUUUUUGACAUUUUUUAACAGAUGUAUUUCUUUAAAACAUCUUUUCCCACCAUUUCUCAACAUUCCCUCCUCCCUGCUCCUGUCCGCCCUUUAGCUUCUUGUGGGUUCCACGUUACCCUAUCUUCUCUUUGACGUCCUGAGGUCCUCCCACAUCACGUUCCCUUCUCACCAUCUCUCUGGCUGUUAUUCCUUCCAGUCUCUUCCUUGCUAUACACCCAGGUGGUGUUCUACCUCCCUGGUGAUUACCCUAAUUUCAUGAUAAGGUUGGUGAGAUGAAGGCGAUUCGCUUAAGGUGAGUGUGGUCAUUGCCAUUCGAGAGAAGGCUUCCUUUCCCUUGGGUUCUCCAAGUGCUCUGAGGUGGAGUGCCUCUUGCUUUACAGAUGAUCGUGUUCUGGCUUUUAGGGGAAGCAUUCAGACUCCAAAGCUGUUGCAUGAGAUGAGUUCCUUCUUUGUUGACUGUGUAAACACUGUCUGUAUACACUGAUGUCAAGCGUGCUCUUGAAACGAGCCAGUCCGCUUUGCUUGACCCUAUUCCCAAGGGAUAUUGGUAAUAGUUUUGCAUGACAAUGUGGGAUUUUUCCUUUUAAACAACAAUGAUUACUCUCCUUUCUUUUAUAUUUUAAUUCAUUUAAUAAUUACUCCAACACAUUUCUCUUCCUUCAGGGUCUUACACAUACACUUUUCCGUCAAUCAAAUAAACGUGACUGACAAUAUAUUUCCGGCGUCAGUGGCUGUUUUCUAAGAUAACCCUACAUCAUUUCUGAGAGCCUAGUGCAAGAAUUACAAAAUCCUCAUGUCCCGACGUAUCACGUUACAACCCUGAAACCAUAGUGAGGUUUUCAGGUGGCAUUCAUUAACUUGAGCAAUUGCAUUUCUUUGGAAAUGGACGUUACUUAGGUAGCUUUUAGACACAAAUACUGGCAAACUAAGAUAUUACCUGCAUUUCCCUUAUGAUGCUAAGAAAUCUUGUUUAGAAAUACAUGCAUGAUUGUGUGUUUUCUCUCAGCUAGGAUGAUGGCUCUGUUCAAGGAUGGUGAGUAAAGCUUAUCUCUCAGAAGUUGUCAUUCUUUUCUCUCUCUGAGAUUCUGCCCCCCACAAGCAAAGGGAUGCAGAAAUAUAGCAAAUAUGUUUAUAGUAGGCAAAGCAGCAUUGGAACCAUUGCCUCUGUAGAGUCCAGCACUUGGAAUAAAUUCCCUCUGAAGUGCAAACCAACCACUAGCAAUUCAGCAUGGGGUCCUCCUCCCCACCUCUCCUCCUUCCAUCCUUCCAUCCUCCCUCCCUUUCUUCCUUUUACACGACCCCUUCCCACUCCUCCUCCACACCCCCAACCUUUGAGGUUUCUACAUUUCUGUCCUCCACCUGAUCAUUUUUCGCAUCAUGUGUGGAACAAAUUGAAUAUGAAGCUACAAGACAGAGAG